AUGCACGACAAUGGCUGUACAGAGAUUUUCCGGAACACUUUAGAUGGGAUGCAUCAAAGAAGAGAUGGUAUAAAAGAAAACAAAGGCCACAGAUUGGUAGAAUUGUGUAUGCACACCCUGCUGAGGAGGAGAGGUACUAUUUUGCGGGUGCUCUUAAAUCAUGUCCGAGGUGCGACAUCAUAUGAUGAUUUGAAAAAGGUGCGAGGCAUUACGUGCUCUACUUUCAGAGAGGGGUGUGAACAAUUAGGAUUAAUUGAGCACGACAAAUCACUUGAUCACUGCCUGACUGAAGCUGCCACAUUUCAGAUGCCUUGUGCUCUUAGACGCUUGUUUGCCAUAUCUUAG
rnacentral:rRNA from 1 species